rnacentral:rRNA from 1 species
GACGAACGCUGGCGGCGUGCCUAAUACAUGCAAGUCGAGCGGACUUUCAAGAAGCUUGCUUUUUGAAAGUUAGCGGCGGACGGGUGAGUAACACGUGGGCAACCUGCCUGCAAGACGGGGAUAACUCCGGGAAACCGGGGCUAAUACCGGAUAAUAUCUUCCUUCGCAUGAAGGAAGGUUGAAAGGCGGCGCAAGCUGCCGCUUGCAGAUGGGCCCGCGGCGCAUUAGCUAGUUGGUGAGGUAACGGCUCACCAAGGCGACGAUGCGUAGCCGACCUGAGAGGGUGAUCGGCCACACUGGGACUGAGACACGGCCCAGACUCCUACGGGAGGCAGCAGUAGGGAAUCUUCCGCAAUGGACGAAAGUCUGACGGAGCAACGCCGCGGGAGCGAAGAAGGGCUUCGGAUCGUAAAGCUCUGUUGUCAGGGAAGAACAAGUACCGUUCGAACAGGGCGGUACCUUGACGGUACCUGACCAGAAAGCCACGGCUAACUACGUG